CGGCGUGCUUAACACAUGCAAGUCAAGGAGAAAGUUUCCUUCGGGAGAUGAUUAAACUGGCGCACGGGUGAGUAACAUGUAAGUAACCUGCCCAUAGGAUUGGAAUAACCUCGAGAAAUUGGGGCUAAUACCGAAUGAUACAAUGAGUUCGCAUGGAUUUAUUGUUAAAGUUGCUUUUGUAACACCUAUGGAUGGGCUUGCACCCGAUUAGUUAGUUGGUGGGGUAAAGGCCAACCAAGACUACGAUCGGUAGCUGGUCUGAGAGGAUGAUCAGCCACACUGGAACUGAGAUACGGUCCAGACUCCUACGGGAGGCAGCAGUGAGGAAUAUUGGGCAAUGGCCGAAAGGCUGACCCAGCAACGCCGAGUGGAGGAUGAAAGUCGUAAGAUUGUAAACUCCUUUUAUUAGGGACGAAAAAACUAAAUUCGUAAGGGUUUAGUCUUGACUGUACCUAAUGAAUAAGCCCCGGCUAACUACGUGCCAGCAGCCGCGGUAAUACGUAGGGGGCGAGCGUUGUCCGGAUUUACUGGGUGUAAAGGGCGCGUAGGCGGGUUUGUUAGUCAGAGGUGAAAUCCUGCGGCUUAACCGCAGAACUGCCUUUGAUACUGCAAAUCUUGAGUGCGAAAGAGAGAGACGGAAUUCCAGGUGUAGUGGUGAAAUACGUAGAUAUCUGGAAGAACACCGGUGGCGAAGGCGGUCUCUUGGUUCGAUACUGACGCUGAGGCGCGAAAGCAUGGGUAGCAAACAGGAUUAGAUACCUGGUAGUCCAUGCCGUAAACGAUGAAUACUAGAUGUUGGUCCUUUUUUGGGGCAGUGUCGCAGUUAACGCAUUAAGUAUUCCACCUGGGAAGUACGAUCGCAAGGUUGAAACUCAAAGGAAUUGACGGGGGCCCGCACAAGCAGUGGAGCAUGUGGUUUAAUUCGAUGCAACGCGAAGAACCUUACCUGGGCUUGAAAAGCAGUGGACCGGUUGUGAAAGCAACUUUCUCUUCGGAGCCGCUGUACAGGUGCUGCAUGGCUGUCGUCAGCUCGUGCCGUGAGGUGUUGGGUUAAGUCCCGCAACGAGCGCAACCCUUACUAUUAGUUGCCAUCAGGUAAUGCUGAGCACUCUAAUAGGACUGCCUACGUAAGUAGUGAGGAAGGUGAGGAUGACGUCAAGUCAGCACGGCCCUUACGCCCAGGGCUACACACGUGCUACAAUGGGUGAUACAAUAGGUUGCUAUACCGCAAGGUGGCGCUAAUCCUUUAAAAUCACCCUCAGUUCGGAUUGGAGUCUGAAACCCGACUCCAUGAAGCUGGAAUUGCUAGUAAUCGCGCAUCAGCACGGCGCGGUGAAUACGUUCCCGGGCCUUGUACACACCGCCCGUCAAGCCAUGGAAGCUGGGGGUACCCGAAGUCAGUGACCUAACCGCGAUUUAUCACGGAAGGAGCUGCCUAAGGUAAAACUAGUGACUGGGGCUAAGUCGUAACAAGGUA
rnacentral:rRNA from 1 species